rnacentral:rRNA from 1 species
AUACGUAGGUGGCGAGCGUUGUCCGGAAUCAUUGGGCGUAAAGAGCGCGUAGGCGGCUUGUCAGGUCUGAUGUGAAAUGCCGGGGCUCAACCCCGGACGUGCAUCAGAAACCGGCUUGCUAGAGUCUGGGAGAGGGAAGUGGAAUUCCUGGUGUAGCGGUGAAAUGCGCAGAUAUCAGGAGGAACACCGGUAGCGAAGGCUGCUUCCUGGAACAGUACUGACGCUGAGGCGCGAAAGCUAGGGGAGC